AAAGGAAUCUUAAAGCGAAACCGGAAAUUGAUCCUGCAAAGUGAAAGUAGCUGGUGUGGAGUGAAUGACAUUGCUGUACGAUGAAUUCGGGAUUUAUUAAUGAAGACGAUUGUAAAUCUUGUAUGGAAGAGUUAUUCAGACGAUCCCAGAAUAUUUCAGAUUCAUGGGAGUUGUCAAGAUUCAAUGGAAAAACGUAUCUAACUAAGAAAACACUGCAAACAUGUUCAUUCAAAGAAGACGACGUGAAAAACUUAAAAUUUGAUGAUUUCAGUGAUGGAAUAGAACAUGCUCAUGAAGAUGACAAUUCAGUUGUCUGUGAUGAUAAGAAUAAACAGGUGUUGAUGUUUGAAUAUCAUGUAAUAUACAGUGAAAGUUACUCCGUACCAGUUCUCUAUUUCAAUGUUUACAGACAAGAUGGUAGCCUCUUGCCACUGGUCAAGGUGUGGGAACUUGUCCCAGAGUAUUUUCGCGAGAGAUUAGAUGAAGACAAGUGGACAUUCCUGACACAAACAGAGCAUCCCUAUAUAGGGAGACCGUUCUACCAGCUACACCCAUGUCAUACUGAUAAACUCAUGGCCGCCGUAUCUUCAGUGGAACAAAACCCAAGUGGAAGUCCGAGCAAUUAUUUGAUUGGCUGGCUCAGCUCUGUUGGACCGGUAGUACUACUGAAUAUGCCAUUUGAAUAUGUAGGUUGACAAAGGACUCAGAAUUUAGGCUACCAAGUUUGUGAUCCAUACAAGACGGUAUGUAGUACCUUUACAAAUGACGAAUAAUAGAUCAGCUGUUCUGAUGAAAAUUUAGUACGUGUCCGAAUAGUGUAUCACUAUGAAAUAGGAAAAAGGGGUGAACUGACCGCCUGAAUAAUGAGCAACGUGACAAGUAUUCAUAUUUACACAAAGUGCACAACCGGACCUCAGUAAUGGACUCCAAUGCAGUACGUGUUACUGCUUUGGCCAGAGUACCAACAACAUUAUUAAAGUUUUUAUACGCCCGAAAGGACGUGUUAUGUUAUGACGUUCGUCUGUCCGUCUGUCUGUCCUUUCUUCCUAAAUUUCGUGCCCGCUCUGUAACUCUUGAACCCCUUGAAGAAUUUCAAAGAAACUUGACACAAAUGUUCAAUAUAAUGAGACGACGUGCAGAGCGCAUGUUUCGGUUGGCUUGCUUCAAGGUCAAGGUCACACUUAGGGGGUCAAAGGUCAUACCCUCGGGCGUAUAUUUCACCACAUUGCGGUACUAUUUGUUUUAUCUUCAUAUGUAAAAUAUACUGCAGAGAACAGAAAAAAGGUUUUGUUAAUGCGUUAUUUGUAUAGAUCUACACUUACUGAGAAAUUAAUAUAACGUAUAUCAAUGUUACGAAAGGCCCAUUUAUAACGUUGCAACGAUUUUAAUUUGCGAAAAUUAUCAUCAUUCCACGUGGGCACUUACUUACACAAUUUUGUCUUUCCUUUUUAUUAUUUUUAUGUAAAGCUAAUACAUUCAUACCGAGAUGUCAGUAUUUAAGAAUACUCGUCUUUACUACGGAUAAAAUCUGUGUAGUUACAUCAAAAGUUAUUCAAACUGUGUUUUAAGAUAUCCUAUAAACUCUAUCCACACGCACUCACGCAUAUAGCCUGGCACGCAAAUUGUAAAUAACUAUAUAUGCAUUUAUAAUGUCUGUCGAAUAAUUUACGUUUUCUUUAUGUAUGGUGGUACUUUAUAUUCUAUGUGUAUU